rnacentral:tRNA from 1 species
UGGUAGAGCGCUCCACUUGUAAUGGAGAGGUCCCGGGUUCGAUACCCGGACCAGGCG